UAAUUAUAUGUACAAAAAGGAGUACUCUGAAGUGAAUUCAUGCUAUGUUAACAGUCUAACAAACAUCUUGGAGGUGUGAAUGCUUUCUUGGGUCUGACAAGUAAUCAAUAAUUGAUGGUAUACUGGGAUUUUUCUCAUACUUCUAGCACUUCCUCAUUGACAAUAAAGCAAGUACUAUCACAACAAAGGCUGUUACCUCCAGUUGUAUACCCCAAGAAAUGGUCUGCUUUCAUGGGGCUUAUUGAAUCCAGGAAAUAACUGUGAGUAGUAGCGAACCAGACAUGAAAAGUUUCAGAGAACUACGAAAACUCUGGUCAGUUUUGUCGGGAUCUUGUGACACAGUUCCAGGACUCUAUUGACUAAGCCUCUUUCAGUUAGUACAAUGAUCAAGGAUCUCAUUUGAGUAUGGGUUUGCACAUCUGAGUGCUGGUGAUCUUCUUUGUGAAGAAGUUAAAGUGAUAUGGAG